rnacentral:rRNA from 2 species
CAACAGGGAUUCCCCUAGUAACGGCGAGUGAAGCGGGAACAGCUCAAAUUUGAAAUCUGGCCCUUGGGUCCGAGUUGUAAUUUGCAGAGGAUGCUUUUGGUGCGGUGCCUUCCGAGUUCCCUGGAACGGGACGCCUUAGAGGGUGAGAGCCCCGUACGGUUGGACACCAAGCCUAUGUAAAGCUCCUUCGACGAGUCGAGUAGUUUGGGAAUGCUGCUCAAAAUGGGAGGUAUAUUUCUUCUAAAGCUAAAUAUUGGCCAGAGACCGAUAGCGCACAAGUAGAGUGAUCGAAAGAUGAAAAGCACUUUGAAAAGAGGGUUAAAUAGCACGUGAAAUUGUUGAAAGGGAAGGAUUUAUGACCAGACUUUUUCUAGGGGGAUCAUCCGGUGUUCUCACCGGUGCACUUCCCCUAGUUGAGGCCAGCAUCGGUUUCUGUCGGGGGAUAAAAGCUUUAGGAAUGUGGCUCCCUCCGGGGAGUGUUAUAGCCUGUUGCAUAAUACCCUGACGGGGACCGAGGUUCGCGCAUUGCAAGGAUGCUGGCGUAAUGGUUAUUAAUCACCCGUCUUGAAACACGGACCAAGGAGUCGAACAUUUGUGCGAGUGUUUGGGUGUUAAACCCUCACGCGUAAUGAAAGUGAACGGAGGUGAGAGCCUUUCGGGGUGCAUCAUCGACCGAUCCUGAUGUCUUCGGAUGGAUUUGAGUAAGAGCAUUAAUGUUCGGACCCGAAAGAUGGUGAACUAUGCGUGGAUAGGGUGAAGCCAGAGGAAACUCUGGUGGAGGCUCGCAGCGGUUCUGACGUGCAAAUCGAUCGUCAAAUCUGCGCAUGGGGGCGAAAGACUAAUCGAACC